UGAAUUGUGAUUCAGUGAUUGUGACAGCCACGAACUAUGAUAUUCUGUGAUAUAACUUAAUUUACGAGUUUCGUCUAGCCGUAAAGUAAAUUAUUAAAAUUGGUAACGAAUGUUUGUCGGUUGACUUUUUUAAAUAACAUUUUUAAUUUACACGACACAUCGUAUUCAAUUUUGGUUUUUAUAAAAUAAUCAAUAGUGAAGGUAUAAAAAUGGAUAUGGAGGAGGAGAUAAUUUAUGCAGACGAAGAAGAAAUUUCAUAUUUUGAAUCUAUUACAGGCUAUCUAUGGAGUUUUUUAGAAUUUAUUCAAAAUAAUGGAUGGUACUUCCUGGCUUUUAUAAUAUUGUUGGCAUAUUUAGUCCCCAAAUUAUGGCCUCAUUAUUUAAAAUGGUCAGAACAAAGAGCAGUAGCUGCAUAUGAUGCAGACAUUAAAAAAAAUCCAGAUUUAUUUAAACAAAAACAAGAGGAAUUACAAAGAGCUCGAGUAAAAUUCCAAGAAGAAUAUGAGAAAAAGGCUAAAAUAGCACUUGAAAAACAAAAAGAAAAAGAAAAGAAAUUAUUAGAAGAAAAACGAGCACUAUUAAAUAAUGGAAUGGCCGCAGGACAGUCUAUGAACAGUUCUGAAAAGUCAAAAAAUUCAAAACCAGAUUACAAACCUUUAAUGGGAUCUGGCAGUGGUUCAAAUUAUAGACCUCCAAGAAGAAGUGCAUGUUCUGGAGGUGGAUGUGGAUAAAAGUGAAAAAUAAAUAUUUUAUUUCAAUAAUUAAUAUCUAUGUACAAUUUUAUAAUAUUACUAAUAAACAAAAUUUACAAUAAUUGUAUCUGCACUAGAGUAAAUAUUGAAAAGUUAUAGGUAAUAUUAUUAAUAUUAUCAUAAUUCUUUAGUCAUCACUCAUUAUAUGUUAAAACAAUAAUCCGAGAAUAUAAUAUUAUUAUUUAUGCAACCAAGAAUUUUAACAUAUGUAGUUAACAAACUUAAAUUAUAAUAUAAUUAUAUUUUACUAUUGAUUUUAGAAUAAGAUAUGACAAUGAAAUAAAAAUAAAGUAUAAACAAUUUUAUAA